rnacentral:rRNA from 1 species
AUGGGUUUCAUGAAUCACCAUAUCCAGAGAUUCGUCGACACAACUUGUUGCCAGUCGAAGAAGGAUUGGCCGGUGCUACCGGCUGGCGUCAAAUUCGAUCCCACGGAUCAGGAACUGAUCGAGCACCUUGAGGCCAAAGUGAGUGUUGACAGCGCGAGAUUUCAGUCUCUCAUCGAUUUGUUCAUACCAACCAUCGACAGCGAGCACGGCAUAUGCUACACCCAACCUGAGAAACUUCCAGGUAUCACACUGAGUGGCCUAAGGAAGCAUUUCUUCCAGCGCAAUUCCAUGGCGUUCAAAAGGGGCACGUGGACGCGUCGCAAGAUACAGUCGGAGUGUGGCACGCACGCGAUGUGGCACAAGACCGGCAAUACAUUACCUGUGAUAGUCAACGGCCGGCAGACGGGCAGCAAAAAAGGUUCUGGUGUUGCACACCAACAAGAACUUCGACCAGCAGAGGACCAACUGGGUGAUGCACCAGUACCACAUCGGGGACCUGGAGCAAGAGAAGGAGCGGGAGCUGGUACUCUGUCGAGCAAGUUUCAACUGGGCCGUAGACUGACCAGGGUUGGUUUUGUUUUUAACAGGCCCAGCCCAUGA